rnacentral:lncRNA from 1 species
UGCGAGUCUGGAACUCGACACCGAUAGUAGCCUUAGAAUCCAAGCUGAACUCGUUGCGAGAGAAACGCGAAAGUAUUUGGGAUUUCCCGACGGCGGAGUCGCCGAUCAACACCACCUUGAACACGUAAUCUGUUUUCUGGUUCGAGCUGCCAUAUCCCCCACCACUAGCCAUUUCACUCCACUUUCUGUCUCUGUCUGUGUCUGCGUAGUGAGAGAGAGAGAGAGAGAGAGAGCGAAAUCGAGUUAGAGAGAUUUUUUGGACAGAGACCGAAAUCAAUGGGACUUAAUCUUAUGCGGUAAUUUAUUGUUAAUUUAUUCUCCUUCUUACAUUACCAUUUUUGUUUUCCUCAAAUAUUCUUUUAUGAUAACUGUAUAUUUUUAUGUAAAGAGAUGCAGGUACUAAAAUAUUGUGCUACAGCUAGUAGCCUUAAUUACUUGGGAAACCAAGCAGAAACAAUGUCCAUGUUAUGUCUAAAUUUAAAGGGUAAAUAUUAGUUUAAAUUUCAAAUUAUUUUGCCUAUUAAUUAUAUUUGAAUUAUUAAAAUUAAUUUUUUAAAUUUUAAUUAUUGAUUUUGUAUCAAUUAUUAUUAUCGUCAUUUCUUUCUCAAAAAAACCAAAACUGAAACAAUAUAACGAUCUAUUAAUCUUCUAAAAACAGGGAAAGUGAAUAAUGAAAGAUUGUUCAGCAAAAAAGUAGGGAAUAGCGAAAGGAGAUACAACUCCGAGAUUCAGAAUAACAACGAAAAAACAACCACCCAUCAGUCCCAACUACCGUUUCUUACGCAGAUGGCUAUGCGAAGCCAUGUCAAGGCGAACUGCAGCCCUAAUCUCCUCAAUCUCGUGCGGCCACCACCCUUCUGAACGUUGUUGGUUAGCCAUAAUAUCUGCCGUCCUUGUUUCCUUCCUAAAGAUGUGAGAGACCUGCAGCGAGAAAGCAUCUAACAUCUUUAGAGUCCUAUUCCACGCCGCCUGAAAACGCCAAGGCACAUUAAAAGACGAGUAUUAAGAAUUGAUAUCACGUAGGUGGAAUCGGCUUCAAUCCAAAGCUUGUGCCAACCACGAUUGUGAGCAAUUUGAAUCGCCGAGAUAACAGCCAUGAGUUCCGCUUCAAAGGCAAAACCCGAGCCACCUUUGAAGUGAAAACAACCACGCACCACAUUCCAGUUAUCUCUAAACACCCCACCUGCAGCAAUAGUGCCCGGAGCUCCCGUCGCUGAGCCAUCAGUAUUCACUUUGAUCCACGGCGCCACUGGUGGCCACCAAUGCACCUCAACAAACUCCGGAGGAGGAGCACUCCUGGUAGUAACACCCACUGCCCGAAGAAUCAGAUAAUCUGACUAAGAAUUCGACAUGUAACCUAAUUUAGGAAAGUUAUCAUCAAUCUCUUUGAAAGCAACUUUGACAGUGUGGAUGACACGACUUGCUUCGAACUUUUGAUUAUCAAAGAUACAAUUGUUUCUCUGCAUCCAGAUGGCCCAGAUGACCGUGAUGAUACCAGCUUUCCAAAAAUUACCGGUGAGGGGACUAAGUUUAUACUGCAAGCUGACCAACCAAAAACUAUGAAUAUCAUUCUCUUGCAACCCUUGCGUGAAAUUGAACCACCCAAGAAACGUAGCCCAAAUAUUCUGCACACGCUCACAAUUCCAGAAAAGGUGAUCCUGAGACUCACUUCCUUUUAAACAAAGCAAACAGACGUUAGGCGUGAUCAUACCGUAGCGGAUAAGGCGAUCAUAAGUCGGUACUCUAUUAUGAAGAAGACGCCAACAGAUCAAAGAGCGUCGAAUCGAAAUAAAAGAUUCCCAGAUUUUGUAUCAAUUAUAUUAUUUCGUUCAUUUUCUUUUGCUCCAAAAAUUUACUUUAGCUAGCUCACGAUGUGAAUUUUUUUUGACCUACAUUAUAUAAAACGACUUGAUUAUAUGUCUUACUAAAUAAAAAAUAAAAGGGUGAAAAAUGAAUAAAUGAUACAAUUGGUACAAAAUUGAUGGUUCAAGGUUCAAAAAAUCAUUUUCGAUAGUUCAUGAUAUAAUUGAUAGUGUGAAAAUAGUUUGAGGUUUAAAGAGAUAUUUAACCAAAUUUAAAGGGUAAAUAUCAAUUUUUUACACAUCGUUUGAGCGUUUUUUUUCAAAAAUAUCUCACCUUAAGUGUAAUUAUAAAUAAUAUCCACCAUUUUAAUUUUUUAAUUUAUGACCCGCAAAAUAAUUCGACAAUCGAUAAUUGACGUAUUUCGACCAAGUGGCACGUUGGCAGUACACGUGAUUUAAAAAAAAUAAUGAAAAUCCACUUAUUUGGAAAACGGGUGUGAAGAAUCAUCGAGAAAAACGAUUUCUUCCUUGAACCCUCACAUUCCCCCUUCAUUCCCUCAUUCAAAUUCAGAUGCCACAACUCUAAAACCUUACCAUACCCUCCCAUCAGUGUCGACCACCACACCACUGGCGCCACAACUCUACCUCAUCAUCCAAUGCCUCCCUCAACAAAGUUGACACUCUCAGCCACAACAUGAAACUUUCCCAAACUCUCACUCACCACACAUCUCUGUUAGAACCGGGUACACGAUCGAGAUAUUACAAAAUAAAUAUUUUGAGAAAUUACGACUCAAAAUAAUUGAAAAUAUUACAAAGUAAAUAAUUUGAGAAAUUACAACUCAAAUAAUUUGAUACAACUAAAAUACACUGUAUAAAUAAAUUAUACGUAUAGACUAAGUCGAGUCGAGAUAAAUCUCUUCCCGCAAGAAGAUUAUCGCCCCGGUAGUGCUCUUCGGUUUAGGCGUAUCUUCCCCAAAGGUAAAACGACUUCGUCUCGUCGGAUGUAGCACCACAAUCCGGCGAGCUCCGGCGANACCUUAGGUAGAACUUUCCCCUGGAACUGCUUGCUUAUAGGAAGAUGGUGCCCAGAACACAAGUACCCCUAACAAUUGCUAUGUGAGACAAAAGACUACCUUCUAAAACUUUCCCUCAAGUCAAGUGUGCCAUCUAAACCAAACCCAUCAUAGCCUAUAAAACAGGUGCUCCGAUACCUUGUUAAAUGGUCCCUGGUCCUUGUACAUGAUUCAACCUACAAAAGUAGCUAGUCAUCUUAUAUCUCCAUGACUUUCCCCAUCCUUAUAGCCACAAAUACAUUUUCAUUAUUUCCUGAAUUUGAAAUUUGUGAUUUUUGAAGAUUUAGAUAUCUAAAAGAAAUGCAAGAAAUGAUUAUAAUAUAAUUUGUAUAUAUAUGAAUGCAUAUAUGAUAUUUGUAAAUAACUAUGUACCAAAGAUUUACACAUACAUACAUAUAUAUAUAUAGAGAGAGAGAGUCAGUGUGUGUGUAGUGAAUCCUCACCUCAUUGGCAACCUAGUCAAAGCAACAAACUAUAAUAUGCAGCCAUUCAUAUAAAUUUGAUCCAGUCAUAAGAUCAUCACUGCUGUUUGCCUGUGACUAGAUAUUGGUCUUACCCCAAGAAUUGGCAAUGCAAGACUCUUUACCAGCCCCAUUAAUUAUCUUUUACAACUAAACAUACAUACGAAACAGAGGACUUUAUUUUUGAGCGACUGAGAAUAUUCACCAAACCCGAUCUCAACUACUAAUCAGCAAUUCCUCAUUUGGCAUACAUAAACAACUCUUUCACAACAGAAUUUAAAAAUAACAUGGAUUGCCUUCCCAACAAACAUCAACUUCACAUCAAAUCAAACAGCUCAGUAUCAAAGCUACCAACUCAGCCUCUUCAGAAUUGUAAAAUUCGCAAUAACUACAACAUCGAACUUAAAAACCUAAUCUAAGAGCUCAAUUUCGUGCAUCUAGCUAAAUCCUAAACCAAUAAAACUCAGAAAAUCAAAUGGAUCCAGCACAUACACAAAUCUACCUCUCUUGGCCAGCGGUGUCCCAGAUCUGAGCUUUGACGGACUUGUGCUGUAUAACCAUGGUGCGAGUCUGGAACUCGACACCGAUAGUAGCCUUAGAAUCCAAGCUGAACUCGUUGCGAGAGAAACGCGAAAGUAUUGGGAUUUCCGACGGCGGAGUCGCCGAUCAACACCACCUUGAACACGUAAUCUGUUUCUGGUUCGAGCUGCCAUAUCCCCCACACUAGCCAUUUCACUCCACUUUCUGUCUCUGUCUGUGUCUGCGUAGUGAGAGAGAGAGAGAGAGAGAGCGAAAUCGAGUUAGAGAGAUUUUUUGGACAGAGACCGAAAUCAAUGGGACUUAAUCUUAUGCGGUAAUUUAUUGUUAAUUUAUUCUCCUUCUUACAUUACCAUUUUU